rfam:Camelus ferus unplaced genomic scaffold scaffold688, whole genome shotgun sequence.
GAGGGCACAGCUCAAGUGGUAGAGCACAUGCUUAGCAUGCACAGGGUCCUGGGUUCAAUCCCCAGUACCUCCU